rnacentral:lncRNA from 1 species
GCAUUAUAGUCAUUUCACAAUAAAGGAGAGAUCAGACGGCAAAACGGACAUCACUUUUGAACUCAGGACGGUCGAAAACCUUAGGAGGAGCAUAAAAGGAAAAAUGGCACUAUUCACAUGUACAGUACUAUUCACGUGUAUGGUACUGUAUACGUUACUGUUCACGACACUGUUCACAUAAACGGAUGAUGACGUGGCAUUGACCGAUGAUGUGGCAUUGACUAAUGAGGUGUCACGAUCCUGUUGGACUAAAAUUCUUAUGUACUGUUGAUGGUGACGUGGCAGCAUAUCAGUGGACGAAAAAUCUCGCGUACGGUGCAUGCAUCACACAGGAUUAUUUUCAACCAAACCGCGUUACUGUUCAUCCGGGUCAAACCGCGUUACUGUUCAAAGUCGGGUCAAACUGUGUUACUGUUCAUCCGCGUGGUCAAACCGUGGACUGUUGACUGAUGACGUGGCGCAAUCAUGAGCGUCCAAACUGUUUUUAAUCCGAUGGCCAUGAUUUACUCCAUGUAUCUAUAAAAAGGGGGCAUCCCCCCCCUAAUUUGAUAUCUCUGAAUCCAUUUUU